GACGAACGCUGGCGGCGUGCUUAACACAUGCAAGUCGAACGGAACGGCCCUGCUUUUGUGGGGUGCUCGAGUGGCGAACGGGUGAGUAACACGUGAGUAACCUGCCCUUGACUUUGGGAUAACUUCAGGAAACUGGGGCUAAUACCGGCAAGGAGCUCCUGCUGCAUGGUGGGGGUUGGAUAGUUUCGGCGGUUGGGGUUGGAAUCGCGGCCUAUCAGCUUGUUGGGGUGGUAGUGGCUUACCAAGGCUUUGACGGGUAGCCGGCCUGGGAGGGUGACCGGCCACGUUGGGACUGGAAUACGGCCCAGACUCGACCGGGAGGCAGCGGUGGAGUAUAGUGUACAAUGGGCGGAGGCCUGAUGCAGCCACGCCGCGUGGGGGAUGUCGGCCUGCGGUUUGUAUACCGCUUUCGCCUGUCACGAGGCGUUAGUGACAGUAAUGGGUAAAGAAGCACCGGCUAACUACGUG
rnacentral:rRNA from 1 species